CAGAUGUGUAAUGACACAACCCUGAAGUCAACAAGGUUCUCUGCUGGUUUUCCCAGAAAUCUCCUGUGAAGAUGAAACAGAUCUAUUGUGAUAACAGGACCAUCUCAGGAGUUCUCGGUAGUCUGCACACCACAGCUUGGGAAGAACGGCAUUAAAAAUGGAAAAGAAGUAGCUGUUUUCAAGAUUGCUGGCAUAAAGAAAAUAAUGGGAUCAUAUUUACAGGAGAGUCUUUCCUUGCAAUAAAUCUUGCAAACUUUCAAUAGCAUGUUAAUUGCCAUUACAAUUUAAUUAAAGAAUAAUAACUGUGGUAGAAAAGCAAGUUGCUUCAAGCAUACCAAGACAAUGUGAUUAACUUUUGGCCCGUAGUUUGGGAUGUCAUACCACCACUGGAAGGAGAUGAUGAAAAGCACAUGCAGGAAGCUUCUGGAAGUAAUAAAAUCCAUAACUACUUGCAGAUGGUGACUGACCAUUUAGAAAUAAAGGCAAAGUG